UGCCGUGUGCAGCGGGCAAGUGAGGGCGGCGGCGGACGGGGGACGGGAGUAUUUGUGGCGUUUGCGGCAUGGCGGCAAGGCACACCUGUGCCGUCCCCACGCCACGCCAUGCCACGCGGCACGAUGCAGCGCCACCCAGGUUGUCUCCUCGUUGUCGUCUGGAGUCGUCCUGGUCAUUACGUGGCCCGCAGCAGCCUUUGGCCCGUCGUGAGAGGGGCGCCACCUGCCGCCCCGCCACCCCCUGACUCGGGUGCUCAGGAAGGAAGAGGAGUAGAAAAGGAAAAGGAAGAGGAGGAGUAGAAAUUCAACCACGACCUUUUUUAGUCACAAAACUACCAUCACCAUCACCGAUACUACGACUAUUACAGCCCUCUCGUGUAGUAACAUCCACCACCAUCACCACCACCAUCGACACCACCACUACCACCACCACCCAACCAACGUAUAGAUACCUCAAGCGGAUCUUCUACCUGUCUACCUCCCCCUCCUCCCCCCCUCUGCACAGGAGGCGGUUGCAGGAGGCGUCGACGAAGAGGAAGAAGGAUUGCGUGCGUGGCGUGGCAUCAGUGGAGGAGGAGGGCCACGAGGACAGCGAAAACAGGAAGCGGUGUGAAGACUUUAGAGGCACCGUCGGGACACUAAUUAUACGAGAUGGAUACAACAAGCGAAAAUUACAACGAAGACAGUAGUUCAUCGAUGACCGCACGACCUUUGAUGACCCCACACUCUACUAACCAGGAAAAAAAGUCGGUUCGCAGGUGACCAUCCUGAAACGAAGAGAAGAAAGGAUUUAGUAAUGAAAGUGGGCCAAAGGAUACGAAAGAAGUGUUCAUCCGGCAGAAGCGUUCCCCCAUCACCGAGGAGGCAGAUAUUAGGUGCUCGAACUCCAGAGACACACACGGAAAACGAAAAAAAGAGGCACGAAAAUAAAGGUUUUUUUGUCUCCCGUAUUCCACUAAGGCUAAAGAAGAAGAAGAAAAGAGGUGGAGGUGGGAUUCCUGUUUUGGUCAAAGAAGUGGACAAGAAGGAAGAGGAGCAGAAGAAGAACAGAAGAGGACAGCAUCUAAUUUCCCUUGUCCCGUUUCAGACCUGAGAGAGAGAGAGAUGGAGGAAAAGGGGGGGGGGGGGAAUGGAGGAGGGGAAGAGUAAGGAAGAAGGGAGAGGAAGGAAGAGAGAGAGAGGUGGAUAUUUUCUCUCUCCAUCUCACUUUUCCCUCUAUAUUUGGCUGUCUGUCCCCAUUGCUAUAUUUCUCUUCUUUCUCUCAUUCCUCCUCCUCCUCCUUCGAGCUUUAAUUGCCCCCAUGUCGGUCAAUAAAUUUCUACUAUUUGCCGAGUUUUGGAUUACGUCCGUCUGUCUAUCUCUCUUCGUGUGUGUGUGUGUGUGUGUGUGUGUGUGUGUGUGUGUGUGUGUUUAGUCCAGGUAUUCAACAUUCUGCGUUUCUAUGUCAGUUUAUAUUCAUUAACUUCUGGAUGUUUUUUUUACUUCAGGUUAAUAUGUACAACUUUUUCUUCAUUUGCUAUUUUUAAAACUGUCUGCGUGUGUGUUGCCAGAACUAAAGCCAUAUAUAUUAUUUUUAAUCUUACUCCCACACUCAUUUCUCUUUCUCAUACAGUUAGAGAACAUGAGUAACAAGAGAAAAUGGGAUAAGAGAACAGACAAAAAAAAAAGAGAAAAGAGAAAAAUAAGAGAGGAUAAGAGACAAUGGAAAAGGGUGAGAGGACAAAAGAAGAGAAAAAGGACUAGAGAGGAGAACAGACAAAUGGAAAAAAAAGGAAAAAGAAGGAUUCAAAAGCAACGAAAACGCUACGAACAAGCAAAAAGGACGUGGUGAUGACUCCCCUGCGGCCGUGUUCAUCUCCUUAAUGUGUCACACCUGCCAAUGGAACACACCUGAGAAGAGAGAGAGAGAGAGAGAGAGAAUGCUGAAUAAAUAGGAUCAAUAAUUAAUGGUUAGGGACUAAGGAAGGAAGGAAGGGAGUGAUGAAGUGACGGGGAAGGAGAGGCUGAAGGACAGGAUGAGGAGCAGCAGGAGGAAGGAGACUGGGGAACACACACACACACCAAGAGAAAAGAUAGAUAGGAAAAAGGGCGAAAUUAGUGAAAGAAAACGAAGAUAAAAAGCAUAAAUCAGGGAAAAGUUGGGUGAAAAUGAAGCGUGUGAAUGAUGGGAAGAAAGG